rnacentral:rRNA from 1 species
ACGUAGGGUGCGAGCGUUAAUCGGAAUUACUGGGCGUAAAGCGUGCGCAGGCGGUUCUAUAAGACAGAUGUGAAAUCCCCGGGCUUAACCUGGGAACUGCGUUUGUGACUGUAGGACUUGAGUGUGGCAGAGGGGGGUAGAAUUCCACGUGUAGCAGUGAAAUGCGUAGAGAUGUGGAGGAAUACCGAUGGCGAAGGCAGCCCCCUGGGUCAACACUGACGCUCAUGCACGAAAGCGUGGGGAGCAAACAGGAUUAGAUACCCUGGUAGUCCACGCCCUAAACGAUGCGAACUAGGUGUUGGAGAAGGAGACUUCUUUAGUACCGCAGCUAACGCGUGAAGUUCGCCGCCUGGGGAGUACGGUCGCAAGAUUA